AGGAUGGCACCACUAUAAAAGGGCAAGUCUUUUUUUAAAAUAUAUUGGAUCCGGGGGUGGAAAUGACAGAGGAAAACUUUCCUGCCAGAUGAGAUGGGGAAACUGAGCCAUGGAGAGAUUUAAGUGACAAGAAGGCAUUUUGACACCAGAGCAGCAAGCUGGAGGAUGGAGCAAGAAACCACUGCUCUGUGAAGUCACGCCUAUCACAUGACCACUACCUACUGGAACUCCAACUCUAGUUCCUCCUCAGCCCCUGAAAGUAGGUUCCCUAAAAGCAGUCAGCUGACUGCUCCAGGACACUCCUCCCUGUGCCUGGGUUUCCUCUACUCUGUUUCUUCACAUGGGGAAUUUAACAGCCCCUCCCCAUUGUGUCAACACUUAGAUAAAAAUGCUCUUUGCCCUUG